UGAACGACAUCUGCAUCCACAGUCUGAUUCCAGCUCCUCGUCUGACAGAACGACUUUUCGUCUGAAGUCUUCAUUCAAAUAGAUCCUCAAUUCUGGACCUCGAGAUCCACGUUCCUGUUCCAGCCUGGAUUAAACACACCCACCUGCAGCUUUCUUGUAAUCCUGAAGAGUUUGACUCGCUUGUUCAGAUGUCUUUGACUAGGGUUACAGCUAAACUCCAAAAGAAAAGUGGAUCUCGAGGUUCUGAGUUGAGGACCCCUGAUGUAGAUGAUUAAAGUUGUGACGGCCAGUAAACAACGUUGUCUACAGCUGAACAACAUCUGCAUCACAAUCUGAUUUCAGUGUCGACUGUCUACAGUUUGACACCAUGACACGUCCCAACAUCAAGUCAGGUGGGCCAUGUCCAGGCAACCAAUUACUUCGAAGUUACUGGAAGAAACGUGUGUGCGCACGAAAAGUGUUUAUCUGAAUUAUUUCUUCGGUUGAGGUUCCCAUCAUGCUCUUGGCUCUGUAUGCGUUGUGUCUUCUCAUCAAGUCUCAUCGAACCGCUUCAGUUUUUGUGAUUCAUUUGAUUCUUUCAGAUCUCGUACAGAAUAUUUGUCUCAUUUGUCUAUCCGCAACUAGCGAUUCAGAUACACGAAAGCUCUUGGAGAAUGCACAUGAAUAUUCUCUAAUCGUUGGUCUGUAUUUUAUGGCAUGUAUCGCUUUCGAAAGAUAUGUUUUGGUGUCUCAUCCUAUCUGGCACAAAACUCACCAGACACUGAAAUUCACCUGUUUGAUUUCCGUCAUCGUCUGGUUUGUGCCUCUGACCUGUGUAAACUAUCUAUCACCUCCUCCAUUGUUUCUUGCUUUCCCCCGAGCGAUAACCUGUUUACUCCCCUACCCAAUCAUCAUUCUGUGUUUUGUUGGCACAUGGAGGGGUCUUUCUCACUCAAUUUCACUGACAUCUCAGAAACGCAGAAUGGUUUUGGGCACUUUGUUCCUCGUGCUGCUCAGUUACACAUUUCUCAUCCUCCCGCGCUCAAUUACAGAUUUUUUCACUGCUGUUACUAAAAAUGCGUUUAGGUGCACUUUACCAUUUGUAAGAGUCAACAAAUUUGUGGAAUGUCUGCUGUAUCUGAAUCCUCUGGCUGACUGUUUAUUGUAUUUGUUCAUGAGGAGUGAUGUCGCUGGUAUAAUGCCGUCUCUGCGCUGCUGUUGUAGACCAGACGCGCAACAGAUUACAGUGCGAUACACAACCAGAACAACACAAUCAUCAUCAUAAGAAACGAACAGCUGCGUGAAGUGUUGAAGGACCUUCAUAUGAUACGCUUCAUAUCUUGAAGUGUAUUUGAGUAUUGUCUGUCUCACUUGUUAUUUAUGUGUAGUAGUAACAAUAUUGAACUCAAAAUGACGUGUCUGAUUGUAGAUGUGUAAUUCAAAUAUACGUAUACUGUAUGAAGCAUCUCUAUGACAAUACAUCAUCAAAAGACAAAAAGAGAUUUUAGGAGUCUAGACUGAACACACACUUGUGUUAUUUCACACACAAACACACACUCACUGAAAUAUUUCUAUGACUGUGUAAUCUACUGGAUCUUCAACAUUCAUGUCAUCCGUUUACUCGAUUUCUGAAAUAAUUCUUUUUCACUUUUGGUUUAUUCAUUUAAUGUUUUUAGUGAUUUAAA